GCGGUGCGAGGCACAGCCGCGCUCCAGCUGCACGAAGAGAGAGCUGCCACAUCCCCAUCCUCCUAUGGGAUGCGGAGGGGAGGGCACCGGGCUGCAAAGUGAUGUUAGAUGGGGGUCGGGAGCAAAUCGUCCCAUCCUGCCCCAUCCCAUCCCAUCCAUCCCUCUUGGAUGCUGGUUUUGGCUUCUGCUCAGGGUUGGGAUGGAGCAUCUCCAGAGGAAGCAGUGCCAGCGCAUCUGACAGUGGUCCCUAAGGGCUCCCAGACCCAGAGUGAGGUCCCAGAGGCAGAUGGGCUUCACGGAGAGAUGGGACAUGAAUGGAGGAGGGAAGGAGCACCAAUCAAUCUCACAGCAAGGUCACGGGCAGAUCCAAGGCAGCAAACCCCAGAUGCCAUCAGGAGCCUCCAGGCCACCUCCUCUGCAAUGUGGUUCAGCAUUUUGAUUUCCAAACCAUUCCAGAGCAGCCGCGGUGGAACAAAUCUGCUCAAUUCUCAAAGCAGGGUUUGUGCUUUCCCAUCCUUCACAUAAGGAAAAAAAAAAUAAAUAAGAAAAAGAAAAAGAAAACCUUGCUUUUCUGCAGGAAAAGCUUCUUUGGUUUCUCAAAGCCUUUUUCAAUAAAAGAGAAAUGGCUGUUUAACACCCUGUGUCCUCGGAGCAAAACCUGAGUUGAGAACCCGUGUAAAACAAAAUGAUUUUUGCAGCAGUGUUUCUCAGCCUGAUUUAUUCACACUUCGGCCCAAGCAGAACGCUUUCAGUGGAAAGGUUCCUUUUGAUCUAGAAACUGUUGUCUUUGGCUUUUCUUAAUUGAAAACCGCUUCCAUUUUCACUAAUAGCUGCUCUGCCAUCCCCAGCCUGCAUGAAACCACUCGCAUCCACUGCCUUGUUAUCCAGGGUUGGGAGCAGCCGAUGUGAUGGGCUUUGAUCUCAGGGUGUUGCUGAGGCACAGCUGCAGCACUGAGACAACGAUUGGUUUGUCCUGUUCUGGGAACUAAAAGGGGAAAAAAAAAAACCCAAAAAACCCAACAAACCCAUAUUUCAGCCCAGCUCCUUGAUUUUUGGCCACGGUGCCCGUGGGGUUGUGGGGAUGCUGUUGGAGGGACUUCAGCACUUGAGGUUGUCUGCUGAACUGAUGGCUUUCUUGCAGCGUUUGCCGUGGGUUAACACAGCACCCUGUGAUGCUGCUGGGGUUGGAACCCACUGGGCACCAGGGUUGGGUGUCCCUGGGGCUGGGGGAUGUAUGCUUGAGCUGUGUGCUUCCCUAACAACCACA